rnacentral:lncRNA from 12 species
GUGACAGACUCUGGGGUCUUUCUUUCCUGCUUGGCUUCUCACCCAGCCACAUCAAUGCCCAGUGGGAGAGGAAAUGUGGUCUUCACCCCAUUUCCCUUCAAAAGCGAGGAAGCUUUCCCAGAGUCCCUGGGAAAUGCCCCCUGCCCCACCCUGCAGUAUCUCAUUGGCCAGACCUGAGUCCCAAGCUCAUCCUUAACUCAAUCCAUUGCAAGAGCCGACCUUAAUUAGCACAAGCCAAUCAGGUUUACUCUUUAGCAGCAGAUGGAAUACUCUUCCCAAAGAUGGUACCCGGAACAAAAGCACAGAUGUGGCAACAAGGAGGAAAAGAGAGGGGUCACCAAGUGAGGAUGUGCAGUACCUUGCUGGAACCCUUCAGUCCUGUGGCUGGGAGAAGAAAAGAUCUGAAAACUGGGCAUAAUCCAGAUUC